AAAAGAAAUCAACCGAGAUUCCCCUAGUAGCGGCGAGCGAACGGGGAGCAGCCCAGAGUCUUAAUCAGCAUUAGCAUCAGGAGAACGGUCUGGAAAGUCCGGCAGUAAAGGGUGAUAGCCCCGUAUCCGAAGGUGUUAGUGUUGUGAACUCGACGAGUAGGGCGGGACACGUGUUAUCCUGUCUGAAUAUGGGGGGACCAUCCUCCAAGGCUAAAUACUCCUGAUUGACCGAUAGUGAACCAGUACCGUGAGGGAAAGGCGAAAAGAACCCCGGCGAGKGGAGUGAAAUAGAACCUGAAACCGUGUACGUACAAGCAGUGGGAGCCUUGAUUUAUCAGGGUGACUGCGUACCUUUUGUAUAAUGGGUCAGCGACUUAUAUUCUGUAGCAAGGUUAACCGUAUAGGGGAGCCGUAGGGAAACCGAGUCUUAACUGGGCGAAUAAGUUGCAGGGUAUAGACCCGAAACCCGGUGAUCUAGCCAUGGGCAGGUUGAAGGUUGGGUAACACUAACUGGAGGACCGAACCGACUAAUGUUGAAAAAUUAGCGGAUGACUUGUGGCUGGGGGUGAAAGGCCAAUCAAACCGGGAGAUAGCUGGUUCUCCCCGAAAGCUAUUUAGGUAGCGCCUCGUGAACUCAUCUUCGGGGGUAGAGCACUGUUUCGACUAGGGGGUCAUCCCGACUUACCAACUCGAUGCAAACUACGAAUACCGAAGAAUGUUAUCACGGGAGACACACGGCGGGUGCUAACGUUCGUCGUGAAGAGGGAAACAACCCAGACCGCCAGCUAAGGUCCCAAAGUCAUAGUUAAGUGGGAAACGAAGUGGGAAGGCUCAGACAGCCAGGAUGUUGGCUUAGAAGCAGCCAUCAUUUAAAGAAAGCGUAAUAGCUCACUGGUCGAGUCGGCCUGCGCGGAAGAUGUAACGGGG
rnacentral:rRNA from 1 species